AAGCAGGGGAUCGUAAGACCUUGUGCUUUUGGAGUGGCCGAUGCCUGAUUAGCUAGUUGGUGGGGUAAAGGCCUACCAAGGCGACGAUCAGUAGUUGGUCUGAGAGGGCGACCAGCCACACUGGGACUGAGACACGGCCCAGACUCCUACGGGAGGCAGCAGUGGGGAAUUUUGGACAAUGGGCGAAAGCCUGAUCCAGCAAUGCCGCGUGAGUGAAGAAGGCCUUCGGGUUGUAAAGCUCUUUCAGUCGAGAAGAAAAAGUUGCGACGAAUAAUCGUAACUCAUGACGGUAUCGACAGAAGAAGCACCGGCUAACUACGUGCCAGCAGCCGCGGUAAUACGUAGGGUGCGAGCGUUAAUCGGAAUUACUGGGCGUAAAGGGUGCGCAGGCGGCUUUGUAAGUCAGAUGUGAAAUCCCCGGGCUUAACCUGGGAACUGCGUUUGAAACUACAAGGCUAGA
rnacentral:rRNA from 1 species